GACCCAGUGGUGCAAUGUCCAGCACAUCUGUACAAUUUGAGAAUCCGCUGAGUGUUCUGCAGGAGCUCCCUGUUCGAGCCAGGGCUGGGUCA